rnacentral:tRNA from 1 species
ACAGAGAAGUAGCUUAGUGGUAGAGGGCUUGCCUGGCACCCAUGAGGUUCUGGGUUCAAUUAUCAGUACUGUA